GAUGAACGCUGGCGGCGUGCCUAAUACAUGCAAGUCGAGCGAACAGACGAGGCUCUUGCUCCUCUGACGUUAGCGGCGGACGGGUGAGUAACACGUGUAUAACCUACCUAUAAGACUGGUAUAACUUCGGGAAACCGGAGCUAAUACCGGAUAAUAUAUUGAACCGCAUGGUUCAAUAGUAAAAGACGGUUUUGCUGUCACUUAUAGAUGGAUCUCGGCCGCAUUAGCUAGUUGGUACGUUAAAGGCCUACGACGGCGACGAGGCGUAGACGAACUGUGAGAGUGAUCGGCCACAUGAGAACGUGACCGCGGUCAAGACUCCUGCGGGAGGCCGCAGACGGCUACCUUCCGCAAUGGGCGAAAGCCUGACGGAGCAACGCCGCGUGAGUGAUGAAGGUCUUGGGAGCGUAAUACCCGCUUACUAGGGAAGAACAGAUGUGUCCGUAACUAUGCCGGGAUUGACGGUACUUAAUCAGAAAGCAACGGCUAACUACGUG
rnacentral:rRNA from 1 species